GAUUAUCGAAGGAGUAAGCCUUAAUUCAUAAUC
rfam:Lutibacter sp. LPB0138, complete genome.